rnacentral:rRNA from 1 species
CACGUAGGGGCCAAGCGUUGUCCGGAUUUAUUGGGCGUAAAGAGCUCGUAGGCGGUUGGGUAAGUCGGGUGUGAAACCCUCAGGCUCAACCUGGGGACGCCACCCGAUACUGCUGUGGCUAGAGUCCAGUAGGGGAGUGUGGAAUUCCCGGUGUAGCGGUGAAAUGCGCAGAUAUCGGGAGGAACACCAAUUGCGAAGGCAGCUCGCUGGGACGUUACUGACGCUGAGACGCGAAAGCGUGGGGAGCAACAGGGAUAAGAA